UUUGACAAUUCUGGUUAUUCCUGCACCUGGUAUAUGCUUGUCUCAAGGACUAAGCCGCAAGUGCCAGUAUAAGAGAAUUGUACAUCAAAACUGCGAAUGGCUCGGUAAACAGCAAUAAUUUCUUCGGGGAUAAUACUACUCGGAUAUCCGUAGUAAUUCUAGAGCUAAUACGUGCCAAAACGCGAAGUUUCUUCGUGGUACUUAUUAUAGAUACAAACCAAUUUUUUUUGGUGAUUCACAAUAAUUUUUCUGAUCGCAUUCGUGCGACACCCCGUUCAAAUUUCUGACCUAUCAACUUCGGAUGGUAAGGUAGUGUCUUACCAUGGUUGUGACGGGUAACGGACCGUGGGUGCGGGAUUCCGGAGAGGGAGCCUGAGAAACGGCUACCACAUCCAAGGAAGGCAGCAGGCGCGUAAAUUACCCAAUCCGGACACCGGGAGGUAGUGCGCCAGAAGCAACCAAAUAGGGGGCCCAAUGGGCUUCCUAAGGAAGGGAGAACAAGAUAAACGGCUAUCGAGAGCCGCGGC
rnacentral:rRNA from 1 species